CUCUGAAACUGAGAGGUCUUGAGGCAAUUGUGUAUAUAGAAAAAGUACUUUGUAGAGGGACUCAAAUCAUUCUGUGCCAACUUUCAGCAAGUCCUCCCAUGUGGUUAAUUUUUCUCUAGGCUUGUUUCUCAGACUCCCAAGUCUCCUCUCCUCAGAAUCUAUCUUUUCCCAUCCGCUGAAUGGAACAAUUCUAACAUUUCUAUCAUCAAGUAACUGAAGGAGUCCCUCUCUGCCAGGCUUUGGUAAACUAGUCACGGCUGCAAGAGUUCCUUGUUCAAGGUCUUGUGAUAUGCUGGCAACAGUUUCUUCGGCACAAUAGAGGUUUGUAGCAAUAAUUCCAGUUGGUCCUCUCUUCAACCACCCGCACACAUACAAGCCCUUUUCAAGCAAUGUUUGAUCUCCCAAAG
rnacentral:misc_RNA from 1 species